UUCGUUAUCGGUCAUGACAAAUUCCGCCAGUAUUGUUCAAAGUUAAGGAUGAUUAGGACCCCUGUGCAUCAACAUUUCGCUCGUGCGACCGACGCAACUAUCUAUCAGACCGGCGGGGCUCACCCUCCUUCCCGAACACCUCCUUUGCAGUGGCGUAAAUUUUGGUGGGUGCUACGACACUUUGAGCAUUCGUAAACGUCAUGGACGAAUCCCGGUUUUUCGAUUUCCG
rnacentral:misc_RNA from 1 species